GGCCGCCUGGCGAAAUGGCAUCGCGUCUGACUACGACAGGGGACUAACCCGCUGAUUACGUCAUCAGGAGAUUGCAGGUUCGACCCCUGCGGUGGUCA